CCUACGGGAGGCAGCAGUGGGGAAUAUUGCGCAAUGGGCGAAAGCCUGACGCAGCGACGCCGCGUGAGGGAUGAAGGUCUUCGGAUCGUAAACCUCUGUCAGCAGGGAAGAACGGUCACUGUGCUAAUCAGCAGUGAAUUGACGGUACCUGCAAAGGAAGCACCGGCUAACUCCGUGCCAGCAGCCGCGGUAAUACGGAGGGUGCGAGCGUUAAUCGGAAUUACUGGGCGUAAAGCGCUCGUAGGCGGUAUGUCAAGUCAAGGGUGAAAUCCCCGCGCUCAACGUGGGAACUGCCUUUGAAACUGACAAACUGGAGUGUGUGAGAGGAUAGUGGAAUUCCAGGUGUAGGAGUGAAAUCCGUAGAUAUCUGGAGGAACAUCAGUGGCGAAGGCGACUAUCUGGAACAUAACUGACGCUGAGGAGCGAAAGCGUGGGUAGCAAACAGGAUUAUAUACCCCAGUAGUC
rnacentral:rRNA from 1 species